ensembl:lncRNA
CUUCGUGUGGAACAGUAGAAGCAAUGUCUUUCCUGAUUUGAGGCCAACUCCUUUUGCUGAGACAAAAUGCCACCCCAAAAACCUUCUGACCACACUGUUCAGAGAAAGAGGGCAUGUGCCAGUGUACACAUGUGACAGAGAGACAGAAUGAGAGAGAGAAAGAGAAAGAAAGAUAGACAAAAGCGAGCGAGAUUGAGUCACUGUCACUUGUGGAGGAAAGUGCUAUAGAGUAGUUAGACCAGCCUCACUGGUCUGGGUGCAUUUAUCUGUCUGUAAGGCCUGUUGAAUGUCAUUCCCAUGCUUCUCCUCCUAGUGAUGACAUGAUCGAAAGAAGGGCAACUUCUCCACCACGAAAAUCGACACGCGUGACUUCUAGAGAUAGAGAGAAACAAACUGGAGAGUGAGAGAAUUUGUUAGAGGAAAAGGAAGAGAGAGAGAGAGAGUGAGAGAGAGAGAGUGAGUGUAAGAGACAGAAGAGUUUGAGCGGGUUUUAGCGUUGCUGUUUUUUGACACCGCUGAGUCUACAGAGCGAUGUCGCAACUUUUCUGACAACCCAAGGAGGACUGGAGUGACCAUGCAACAGACAGAGGAAAUAAGGGGAAAGAAUAUGUCAACAAUCCAUCUGGGAAAACUGGUGAAGUAUGACAAUGGAGAACAACUGGAAUGAUAAAGAGAACAAUCCUAACAUGCUUCCUAACAAGACAAGAGACGCCAGGGCACACGCCUGAAACUGAACUAAGACUGAGGACAAACACAAGGAAUGUUCCAGAUUGUUUUCUGUAACUCAAUCUCAACAGCCGCUGGUCUGUCUAAUCCAUAAUCCAUAUACAGCAUAUCAUAUGUAUGUACUGUAUGUUUGUUUGUAUAUACCAUCAUUGGUCUGACCCAGGGGGUCUGAUGUAAGAGUGCUCUCUGUCCUGAAUGUCUCAGCCAAACCCCUCCGUUGACACCCAGACUCUGCUUCAGUCCAUGCUCCAGAGACUGAGGCUCCAGCCUGGCUCAGAGACCCAGCACGGCAGGCAGGACCAGGCCCCCCACGGCCCCACCACAGCUGCCCAGGGCCAGGGGGAGGAUGGGGGGAGACCUUGGGCUAACGCCAUUGGCAAUGGGGCUCUGGGGCUGUCUCCGGCUGAUGAUGUCAGAGCGGCUGAGGGAAAAGGGGGAUGUGAGAAGGCCAGGAAAAGUGAGAUGUGGAGGUUGGACUCCAGGGAGGAGGUUGGGAUACCUGUGUGGGACUGUAAUUUUGGGGGAUCCAUUCGGAGAGGGAAAGGGGAGGAAGGGAGGAAGCAACCCACUGGCAGUCUCCCCAAGUUGGACAGGGGACAGAUGGUGUCAUCCCCUUUGGCUGCUCAGGGUGCCCCUGUCCUCGCCCCCUUACAGGAUGCUGGCAGUGUAAGAGGUGACCCAGGAGGGUCAGUGGGGGCUCUGCCAACAGUGAUGACCUUCACAGGAACUCAAACCGGGAACGAGGGCCACAUUGACGCAUCACCUCUCAGUAACUCAUCUCUAAGCUCCAAGACCAAGGGUGCUCAGAACCAUGACCGGUCGGUUCUAAUGACGUCAAACUCUGACUUUAUUCCAUUUGACAUGGGGACUCAAAUGAAGAGGUGGCAGACUUUGGGCUAUGGGGGGUCAGAGGUUCCGGGACAUGGAGAUGUCAUGAAGAUUAUGUCACCUGGUCAAGGUGUAGCAGAAAACACCUCGUCAACUAAGUCGAUGAAGAGAUUGACACAGAGGAUAAAGGAGAAAUGGAGGGACAGGCAGGAGAGUUUAGGGAAGAAAAGGAAAGCGGAGGAUGGAGUGAGAGAAGAAAGGAAAGAUGCAAAACAAGUUAAACUGUUAACCAGAGAUGAUAACGUCACUAAGAUGUCCAAUAAAGAAGGCUAUACGACCACUCAGUCACCAAUCAGAGAGGGCCAGGGGGAAGCCCCUCCCACUCUGUCAGAAGACAGCGGUACAGCAGGUCUGUUCAGAUCCCCAAGUUCCUUUGAGUUCGGCCUUGGGUCCUUUAGCUUGUUGGAGGAGAUCCUCACAGGGCAGGAGUGGGCCAGGUUUCUAAAUCCAUCACAAGUAGACACCUUAGCCAAUCAAACACCAGCUGAAGAGGUCACCAAUCAAUUAGAGGCCAGCCAGAGACGGCCACAAGAUCAUGAGAGCGGCCGAUCAACUAUGACCUUGGACAGAGUCAGACAAUCAGGAAAUGUGAACAGUCAGUGGGACUUCAGACAAAGUGAAUUGGACCUAAGUUAUGAUAGAAGCGCUGAUGUUUCUUCAUCUGUCAAUAUGAAUAUCACAGAACCAAGCCUUGUCCAAGAACAGAACAGUAAAUGUGAACUCAUCCAAUCGGCACCAAAGGAAUAUGGUCAUGUCCAAUCACAAACCAGUUCUGAUGAAGUGAGGCCAAAUCAUAUACCUGUGUUAGAGUUCUCGUUCAUUAAGCCAGUGGAGGUCUUGGAUAGCUCUGCCCUGAAGAGCAGGGUCCACAUGAACAGAAAAAGAGAGCACCGGUCACAGGAGAGGAAAGAAGAGAGAGAAUGUUUAAAAGGAGAGGGGGGAGAGAGAUUAGAAGACAACUCAGUCCCAUCUGAUGAGGAAGAGAGGGAAGAGGGGGACAACUUUAUGAUGCCUGUCUACCCCCUGAAAUCCUCCCUUUCCCCUCUCCCUCCAUCCUCCCCCUCUUCCACCUCACAUCCCCUUGUCACCCGAAGUAUACUGCAACACUCAGUGUUUCAAGAUUCAGAGUCCUCACUAUCAAUGGAAACAGUGACCAAAAAGGUUUGUACAGAUUUCACUCUCAUUUGUCUGUCCCACACUGUCAGCAUUUGGACAACUGUAAAUUGAAAAAUCAUUUGGGGCAUUCACCCAAUCUCUCUCUCACCCAAUCUCUCUCACCCUCUCUCUCUCUCACCCUCUCUCUCUCUCCCUCUCUCUCUCUCCCUCUCUCUCUUUCCCUCCCUCCCUCCCUCCCUCCCUCAGAGGCGGAUGUCAAAAUCUCGUCACGUGCGGUUCUCUGAGGAGGUAGUUACCAUGCCGCCCAGCCUCCUGAUCCAGCAGUAUCCUGAUUCAGAGGAGGAUUGUGGAACAGAGGAGGACUCCACGCUAGAGGAGAAUGCAGUGAUGGAGGAAGUUCAAGUUGUGCCGAUGAUGCUACAGCCCGCUGCUGCUCUCCCCGCCUGGAUAUUAGCUCUGAGGAGGAAGACAAGGAAGAAACACAGGCACUGAACAAUAACAGGCUCAUCCUUGUCUACCCUUAUUUAACCAAGCAAUUACCUUGAGAAUCUCCUUUGCAAGAGAGACUUGGCAAGAUAGUAAAAAUACUUUGUAAUUACUUUUGCAUCUUUUUUUUCAUUCAACUCAAAUGUUUGAUACUGAGUUAUUAGUGCUUUCCAUGGGGAAGGGAAGAGGAAAGGAAACGAGAUUACUUCGAUCAUUCUACAAGCCAACACACAAAAACAAACUCAUGUCAUUACAUGAUCGCUAUGUUUACGUGUGAAAGUGUUCUAAGUCCAUUAGCAUGGAAUGUCAGGAGACAAUAGUUAUAACGGACCGUUUCUCUCUCUCUCUCCCUCGCUCCUCAUCAGUCCUUAUUAAUUAACAGUGGUGUAAGGCCAUUAAGAAGCUCUUUUGCUGAUCUAUUAGUGUUGUGAUGGGUCCUUGGUGAGAGGAGGAGUGCCCAGGUUGUGUGUGUGUGUAUGUGUCCGUGCAUAUUGGGUGUGUAAUGCAGAAAAACACAAUACAGCAGGCACGACUCAGUCAAGUCCGAUAAUUGUAUAAUUGCUGGUUACCUUUGCUUUCCACCAGGUUCCAAGAUCAAUAUAGGACCACGGCAUCUUUUCUCAUACCCCCCCAUUGUUAUAGUACAUCACAAAUGGAGCAAGACAGAGAUGGAGAAAGGGAUGAGGCCAGAUAACUGUAACAUAUGAACUACAGAGUAUGUACAAAGGUAAUGGGACCAGGGCAAAGCUUUUAUGUGGCGGCAGACUGUGGAACAGCUACAAUAUUGAGAGUAACAGUUUAUAAAGUUAUUUGUUUGUUUUUACUAAAGUGUUCAUCCCACUGUACAGAGAUAGUUUGCCCCCAAAGAUCGGAACACAUUUUAAAAACACAUUUUAAAAGUUAUUCAGAGAUUCAAUUGUUACGUCAUUCAGGGCAAGUGGGGCGGAGCCCCAUCUGUUUUGAGCCUCACAUUUUUAGCAAUAAAUAAUUAAACAUGUAUAUUUGUUUUAAAUUGGGGGGGCUUGCCAUUUUGCAUGUUAUUUUGGCAUUAAUAUGUGUCACAUAUUAGUUUGCAAACUAUGUAAAAAAAAUAUAUAUAAAUAUCAUUGCGUUAAUAAAGGCGCACACACACA